AUGCAACAAUUAAAACUAAAAAGAAAAGAUAUGAAAUUGGAAAGGGGUUUUAGGGUUAGAAAGCUAUGCAUCGCCCUUCUUCCUCCACGACGGCGCGACUUCUCACCAUCUCUGACUUCCAGUUACGGAGCCUCCGUCUGUGCUCUCGAACACCGCCGUGACUCUAUCCCUUAUCUCUCUUAUGUUUCAUCCUUCUUCGCAUCAUCACCUCUCACACUUCGGUUUCGAUCUCAUCUUCGACAGAUCCACAUCGAGAAACCAGAGAAAACGAUGAAGAGAUGUUAA